GAUGAAGAACGCAGCGAAAUGCGAUAAGUAAUGUGAAUUGCAGAAUUCAGUGAAUCAUCGAAUCUUUGAACGCACAUUGCGCCCGCCAGUAUUCUGGCGGGCAUGCCUGUUCGAGCGUCAUUACAACCCUCAGGCCCCCGGGCCUGGCGUUGGGGAUCGGCGGAAGCCCCCUGCGGGCACAACGCCGUCCCCCAAAUACAGGGGCGGUCCCGCCGCAGCUUCCAUUGCGUAGUAGCUAACACCUCGCAACUGGAGAGCGGCGCGGCCACGCCGUAAAACACCCAACUUCUGAAUGUUGACCUCGAAUCAGGUAGGAAUACCCGCUGAACUUAAGCAUAUCAAUAAGCGGAGGA
rnacentral:misc_RNA from 1 species